rnacentral:rRNA from 1 species
UACGUAGGUGGCAAGCGUUGUCCGGAUUUACUGGGCGUAAAGAGCGCGCAGGCGGUCGUUCAAGUCGCGUGUGAAAGCCCCCGGCUCAACUGGGGAGGGUCACGCGAUACUGAUCGACUCGAAGGCAGGAGAGGGUAGUGGAAUUCCCGGUGUAGUGGUGAAAUGCGUAGAUAUCCGGCGGAACACCGGUGGUGAAGGCGAUUCCCUGGACCGAGGCCGACGCUGAGGCGCGAGAGCGUGGGGAGCGAACCGG